GUUCCUGCAGCGCAAUAAGUAGCGUGUUGGACUUCUAAUCCAAAGGUCGUAAGUUCGAAUCCUACCUGGGAUG